GACGAAAAGAACUAGUUUCGGAUACACCAAUUUAUGUUGCAUUUAAUUUUCGAAAGAUUUUUAUUGCUUUCUUUGCCUCACUUUAAAAGGCAACGAUAUAUUCAUAAAGCUGGACACCAAGCUGCAAACCACUUCCCACCUGUUCCUCACACACACCCUACGCUGGCGACAACAGAACUAACAUGACGGUACUUUCGAAUACGUAAGUAUUUUAGGUAUGGUCUCCUACCCAUCUUCAAGGAUUAAACCCUACGGCAGCACCUGACAAGGCUUCUCCUCCAACCUCCAAAUCCCACUUAGGUAACUGCCUUUCUCCUCUAUGCUCCCAGCACUUGGCCCCUGCGUUAUCAAUUGAGUCCAGGACAGGGCGGCUGGGCAUGCCCACCGUGGGCCCCAAGUCCGGAGCAGUAAAGCCACGUUCACAGGAACUUCGACAGGUAGGGGGAGCCUGGACUCGGAACCACGCCUUCAUUUGUCCUUAUAAAUCUCCAGAUUUGCCAGUAACCUCCCCUACCCUCUGAACCUCCCUGAGGCGCUCUAUCACCCUGAAUUCUCACAGCUACCGCCUUCAAGAGCCCCCGUGGCUCCAGCGUGCAGCUGAGGAAUUUCUCCGGAUCGCAGACGCCGGCCGAAGGAGUGAGGCCGGGAUUCGUGCCUGUUCUGAGUCCUGCGGCGCCCGUUUAGGCCUCCUCCAACCUUUCUCAUGGAAAGAGAUACGCACGCAACUUACAACGUACGAUCUUUUCUCUUUCUUUUAAAAUCACAACCUAUUGUCUUGUGACCCUAGCCUGUGCAGGGAGGACCCGAAAUACAGCAGCGGCCCAGGCGCGAGGGAGAGGCGUGCAAGACAGCCGGGUUUACCUGGGGACCCAGAGGUCGCACAAGCCUAAGAGGGAUCACGAGUCAGCCCUGCGGCGCGGCGACCUGAACUGAUGCAACGCCCUGGCAGCACCCGGCACAGAGCAACGGGCCACCUCCGCGCCGGCCAACCAGGAUGCGCGAUGUAACACCUACAAACAAUCUGGCUGGCGAUUGGCCUGGUGAUUCCUGGCCACACCCACUACCCGCAUCCAGAACUGCGGUGCACACUGGGAACGCGGCGUGGAGGUGGAACUUGGCCGGCGUUCCGGGUCCAGCGACCUGGCCGGGACGUCCAGCAGCCGCCCUUCGUGCAGCGCGGCUGGCUCGCUCACAUCUCAGGGCCCAGAACCUCUGGACAGCUGGAACAGGGUUGUUCUCUUCAUCUUAUUUUGAGUAUAAGCUGCUGAACAGCAAAAGGGAAAAAUGGAGCUUGGCACCCAAGCCUAUGAAGGAAACUUUGGGCCUUAACAUUUUGAGAGUAGUUCUGUAGGUAAGUGCCUAUUUUAUGUUAGAGACACAGGAAAGAUUAUCUGGCCUAGAGUAGGUAGAAAGCACUAAGUUUUGAUAGUCAUUUUAGCAUUUAUUCAAGAGUUACUAAGGUGCAGGCCCCUACUGAAUGUCCAGGAGUAAGUGAUUUCUUGUCUUGUCCCGCAAGGUUGCUUUACUCAGUGGAACACGUAUGUAUUUAGUAGUUGUGUCUUGGCGGGGGGUGGUGGGGGGAGGGGAUCGGUUCUUAUUAAGCUGCGGAGGCUGAUUUGGAACUCAGGCUUCAGUGAUUCUCCCACUUUAGCCUCUGGAGUAGCUGGGACUACUGGUGUGAGCCGUCGUGCCUAGCGCUUUAGUUUAUGUCUUAGUUACUUUCUCGUUGCUAGGAUAAAACACCCAACACCAGUUAAAGGAGGCAAGGCUUAUUUUAGCUCACUUUUUGCACAGGUUUCAGUACAUAGUCACCUGGCUCCAUGGCCGGGCAGCAUGGCAGAGGAGAAAAACAGUCAAUCAUAUGGCAGUCAAGAAGGAAAGAUACUUCCCUCUACCCCUUUUUGCUCCAUCCCAGCUACAGUUCUGUUUUUUGGUGUCACCCACACGCAGGGUGGAUUUUCUCUUCAGUACUUCCAUCAUCCACAUUCAGAACUACGCUACCUAAUUAGUCUACCCAAUCAGUAGACUAAGUGGCACCACACCCAUAAUCAACCACCUCUCAAAAGCCUACCUAUGAGCAUGAGGCUUUAAGGGGACAUCUAGAUAUAAACCAUAAUUUUAUUGAUUGGAAGUACUGGUAAUGUAUUUGACAUUUUUGCAUUCCUUUAGUUGCCACAUUGUGCAAAUGGUUUCUACCACCUAUUCACUGAGGAUUCCUAAACAGGUGUGCCCAGGGGAAAAAAGCUAUGCACGAGAUAGACUUCUUGGUCUUAUUUUUUGUUUUCUUUAAUGCUUUCUUUAUAUAUUUUUGGCAGCAAAACUGUUUCUUUAAAAAAAAAACAACUAGACUAUGAACACAUAUAAAAAGGCCAAUAUUAAAAGCAGCAUACUGGUUAUUUUUUGUGUAUGUGUGUCUUUUUGAGACAAGGUCUCACUAUGCAGUUCAGGCUGGCCGUCAGCUCACUUUGUAGCCCAGGCUGGUCUCGAGCUAACAAUCUUCCUGUCUCAGCCUCCCGAGUGCUGGGAUUACAGGCAUGUGGCACUACAUCCGGCAUACUUAAAGAUAUGUAAAAAGAAUCAAAUGCAACAGUGUAGGAAGACAAUUACCUCCUUUUUAGAAAUCACAGCUUCUUCCAAAUAAAGAAUGUGACCCAUCUGCAAUACUGAAUGAAUAUUUAUUUCAGGACAUGCCAUGUCAAAAUAGAGGAGUCAAUCCUUGCCUUUAACAAUAAUAUUAUAUUAUAAAAGCACUUUAUAACUCCAUCCUAUCUUUGGGUAUAAGUUAUAGGUAUGUGGGCUAAUGAUUAUCUGAAAACAUUUCUCUCUUCAGAUCCAUAAUCCAAGUGUUCUCUAAAUAUUACAAGGUGACAACAGUGAGAAGUGGAGGAAGAAGAGAAAGGAGUAAGGUUUUCCAAGUUAAGGGUUCUGUUGCAAUGAGCACAUGAACAAGUAUGAAGUUAUUUCUGUUGUGUUUUCAUCUUUAUACUGUGUUAAGUAAUGCUUACAACAUAAACUCACCAGGCUUUUUCUGAGCUAUAACUCAGCAACAUUUUGCCUGCAAACAAUGUAUUUGCAAAUGUAUUUUUUAACUUACACAGCAAUCUCACAAUAACAGGUAAAGAUUCAAAGGGUGUACUCCUAGUAUAUUUGUUUGCAGUGUGUUAGAGGGAAUACAUAUUGCCAUGGUGAUGAUGCUCUAAAUAGAGUCAACAAAAAAAAUCUAAAAUGAGUUUUAAAAAAUGGCAAGGAAAUAAAAAUCAUCAAAAAAGAUUAAUAUAAAAUAUAAAACUAAAUCACUAGUUAAUUAACCAAACUAUACAUAUCUAAUAAAAAGCAAGACCAGACUAAAAGACCCAACAUUUAAAAAAUGCUAAAAAAGCAUAAAUCUGCAUAAUAUUGACUAAUAUUUCCAUUCGCUCCUUUUCCUCUUCAAACUUGCUUUUCCUAAUAUGCUUCUGCAGUGAUAGCAAACUUUUCGAGCUUUCAAUGAUAUGAACAACCCACUGUAGCCCUAUAGGUUUACCACCACUGUUCUAGGGGCUAACAAGAAAAUUAUUUCCAGCCAGGAGUGGUGGUGCAUGCCUGUAAUCCCAGCACUCCGGAGGCUGAGACAGGAGGAUUGCUGUAAGCUCAAGGCCAGCCUGAGCUACAAAAUAAGUUUGAGGCCAGUCUGAACUGCAUAGUGUAACUCUUGUUUCAAAAUAAAAAAAAAAGAAAGAAAAUUAUUUCCAUCUUCAAUUUGACCUCAAAUGUCCAGAGCAGAAUAUCUGCUAUUUUGGCCAGGUGUGGUGGCACGUGCCUGUAAUCCCAGACUUGGGAGGCUGAGGCAGGAGGAUCCUUGUGAAUUCAAGGCCAGGCUGGGCUAUAAAGUGAGAUGAAGGCCAGCCUGAACUGCAUAGUGAGACCCUAUCUCAAAAAGACAAAAAAAAAAAAAAAAGAGAGAAAGAGAAUAUCUGUUAUUUUGCAAGGGUUCUUUGUUGGUAAGCUAUAAUUUGACCAUGGUGCCAAAUUUAAAUUCUUCCACUGGUUCAUCUUAAAGAGUUUGACAUUUACAAUGCCUUCCUUGCAUAGCAUUUUUUUUAAAAGCAAAAACAUAAACAAAAACUGUUGCUUAAGAUUCUUUAAAAAAAAAGCAAACAAUAAAUGUCUGCACAAUGUUAAAAUCCUAGAAGAAAUAGUUCACUAGAACUUUAUGAUUUUACCAUGAAGAAUUAACUGGUUACUUUUUUCUCCCAAAGCCUAAUAAAGCACAUGUGAGCCGGGUAUGGUGGUGCACGCCUGUAAUCCCAGCACUUGGGAGGCUGAGGCAGGAGGAUCAUUNNNNNNNNNNNNNNNNNNNNNNNNNNNNNNNNNNNNNNNNNNNNNNNNNNNNNNNNNNNNNNNNNNNNNNNNNNNNNNNNNNNNNNNNNNNNNNNNNNNNGCAAGGGUUAUUGGUUUGUCCCUUUUAGAAAUUCAAAAAAAAAAAAAAAAAAAAAAAAAGAAAAGCACAUGUGAGAGGGGCAUUCGUUUUGGUGAGAAAUACAUUUUAUAUUCUACAAUGAGUUCUGUGUUCAUUCGGACUCAUUUUGAAGAUACAGCAGAACCCUUUCCUCAUUCAAGUGCUGCGCACCAUGAUAGCUAAGUUUUGACUCAAGAAGGUCUAAGUGAUUUAUAUCUGCUCAAGAAUAAUUUUGGACAUUUUAGGCUAUUGCUGCAGCAAGUGAUAUAUGUAAAACUGAAAGAUAAUUCCAAUGGGCUUGAUCAGAAUGCUGUUUGCCCCUUGUUUGUUUUGUGGUAGAGUAGGAAUAGGAAAUGGGGGUAAGAGAGAGGUGAGAGAAGCAGUAAGAGACCAAAUAGGUAGGCAAAUGCUGUGAAAAUACUGCUCCUUAACCAAGCCACACAUACUGUUGACAUUUCCAUCAUUUUAUUUAUGUUUUUAUUUUAUUUUUGUCUUUUUGAGAUAGCGUCUCGCUGUGCUCUUCAGGCUGGUCUUGAGCUCACUUUGUAGUCCAGGCUGGUCUCAAAUUUGCAAUGAUCCUCCUGCCUCAGCCUCCGGAGUGCUGGGAUUACAGGCAUGCACCACCACAUGUGGCUAUCCAUCAUUUUAAAGUACCUUAUCAUAACAUUUCUUUUUUUUUUUGUCUUUUUGAGACGGGGUCUCCCUCUGCAGUUCAGGCUGCCGUUGAGCUUACUUUGUAGCCCAGGUUGGUCUCAAACUCACAACAAUCCUCCUGCCUCAGCCUCCCAAGUGCUGAGUUUACAGGCGUACGCCACCAGGCCUAGCUUAUCAUAACAUUAAAAAAGAAAAAAUGUUAAGAAAAAGUAUCUUCAUUUAUCACUGGAAUCUUUUGUGCUUUUGUAAAAUAUAAAUAAUGAAGACACUGACAUUUUUGUGCUUGUGAAGCUAAUAGAUCAUCUCCACAAAACAGGCAGCAAUGAAGAACUGCAAUGUAUUAUUGAAGGGAAGAGGUUCAAGCCAGUAUUCACACUGCAGUCAGUGAAAGGCUACAGGGGCCAAAGCAGUGAGUUUCUGGAACAGGCCUGAAGGUGCUAUGGGGGAUUAGCAGGAACGGUCUCCUCCAGUGACUGGUUGCUCUUCAGGCUUUUCCAGAUUUGUCAAGCAUGUCUUCUCUAUUUCUGUCCUGUGUGCUUUCCAUUCCAGGCAAAGCUGCUGCUUCAUGUGGGAAGAACUGCUUUUACGCUGGAGUCAAUGAACAUAACAUUCAGCUCUUUGGGUUUUUUUGUUUUUUGUCUUUCUGAGACAGGGUCUCGCUAUGCAGUUCAAGCUGGCCUUGAACUCGCUUUGUAGCCCAGGCUGGCCUGGAACUCGAAAUGAUCCUCCUGCCUCAGCCUCCCAAGUGCUAGGAUCAUAGGCGUGCACCACCACACCCAGCUACAUUUGGUUCUUUGGCUUUCUUCUCUCCUUCCUCAAUUGACACUUGCCUCUUACCAGCAAGUUUUAUUUCCUUCUGGCAUGGUGAUAACAGCGCUUCCUCUGUUCUGAUGUCAUCAAUCCAUUUUGCAGUUUGCUGGAAUGACUUAACAUUUGUGAUACUGUAAACUACUAGGGCUUCAGAAGAGUCACGGAUGUAACUGGGAAUGAGGCUAUGGAAACAUUCCUGACCGGCAGAAUCCCACCGCUCCAGCCUUAUUUCUCUGUCCUCUAAGUAGUCCUUUUUUUUUUUUUUUUUUUUUU
rnacentral:lncRNA from 1 species